UACGGAGGGGGCUAGCGUUGUUCGGAAUUACUGGGCGUAAAGCGCGCGUAGGCGGACCUGCAAGUCGGGGGUGAAAGCCCGAGGCUCAACCUCGGAACUGCCUUCGAUACUGCGGGUCUCGAGUCCGGGAGGAGGUGAGUGGAAUUCCUAGUGUAGAGGUGAAAUUCGUAGAUAUUAGGAAGAACACCAGUGGCGAAGGCGGCUCACUGGCCCGGUACUGACGCUGGAGGCGCGAA
rnacentral:rRNA from 1 species